CUGGACCAGGCACCCAGACCACUUCAUUAAGCUGAAGUGGUCUGGGUGCCUAAAGUGGUCCUUUAAUGUAUGUAUAUAUAUAUAUAUAUAUAUAUAUAUAUAUAUUAUUGAUACAUUU